AUUCGGGCCUCUGGCCUCAGGGCUGCAGUAUGUUCUAUGACUUUUUGAUAAAGAAUUCUUGGCAUCAUUAAAUACCAUUUUGUACUAUCGACGAGGGUGAAAUUGUGGUUUCGGUUAUUUAGGAAGUAAACUGAUUGACUACAUCGGUUUGGUUGUCUUGAGUUUGUUAAUUAGUUGGGUAUAUUUUACUGCUGUGUUCCACGUUGAAUCUUUAGUGCGUGGACGAGUUGGGACUGCGCCAGACCUCGUCAAGGAGAACAACCGGCCGCGCCUCGACGUGACCCCGAAGACACCUAGAAAAAUGUAUUGAGAAGGAAAAAGAUGAGAGGGCAAAGGCGUCGUUUCCGAUCGACGCGAACACGAGAUUGGAUCGCCGCUACUUUCUCCGCGAACGGACUUCCUUGCUUCAAAUUCCUUAAUUCCACGCUGUCUUUAUUUAUGACUUAAUUCUGCGAAGAGUAUUUUUUAUCUUGCUUUUUAAUAGAAAGUAAUUUAAAGAAGAUAUUAGUAUGGUAACGUGAAUCUCAUCUAUUUUUUAUUUUUUUUAUUUUAGGUAUAUUGCCCGCCAUGAAUAUUAAAACACCUACUCGUAUUUAAUACAUAUUAAAUGCUCAUUGCUUUUACUUUCUAGUUAUUUUAUCAUGAAUCUAUCAUUCCUCUCAUUUGCAUCACACACAUGUAUUUUAUAACGAACAGUAAUAAUUAAGAUGAGAUUUAUUAGAAUUUUUCAGUGAAUAUAACGAGUAAGUGUCUUAUUGCCGAUGAAUGUUAAUAAUUUUUUAUUAGACUGCGGAUUUUUAUGCAAAAAAAGUAGAACCUCUGCACAAAAGUGUUUUAUAUGCCAAGUAUUAUAGGCAAUACUAUACUUUGGAUAUGCCAUAUAUUUUUUCAUAUUGUAUGCAUUCUGUGCCAUUUUGUGCUUUGAAAUUUCCUAUAAAUGCAUGAAAAUCCGUAAUUAUAAUAAAGAAUUUUAAGAUCAUAAGAUAUAAUGUAGAAAAACAUCUACUGAAAAAAUUCUUCGGUAAUGAUUGAGCAAUUACAGAUUCUAACGCAGCCAUCAUCCAACCACCUAGUCAUUAGAAACGAGUUUCGCGAUUUUCCAUUCCAUAAAGCGAAAGUGUGUGCAAACAUCUCGCGUAUCAAUAGAACCAAACGACGAGAAAACUCAACAGGACCAAAAUAAGACAAAAUCGCCAACGUUACCUUCUCCCAAGAAGAACUUUCACUUUAUCUUCAUGGCUGGCUACUAACGUCGCGUCGGUUAAUUUCGAUUCUCUCUUAAGAUAUUCUCGAUGACCAAAACGCUAAUCUCGAUGGCAGAACGAGGUGGCUCAGAACUGAGCGUAGCUGGUAAUGGAACACUUUCCUCUCGACGCCGGCGAGAGUGAACUCGCCCGAGGAUCGAGGUCAGGUCAAGGCCCUCACGGAGCGAGGCUUCGAGCUUCUCGUGCUUCUCUCUUUCUUCCUUGUGCUUUCUUCUUUAUCAUACAACCCUGUGAAUGUAGAAAAUGUCGAUCCGUACGUUAUAGGAAAUGGUUCCUUGUGUUUAAAUCAUGUCUAACCCUCUAUAAUAGAAUUUCUCAUUGAAACGAUCAGUCACUAAAUUCUAGAGAAAUAAAGUUUCAAGUUGGAUGAAUUUAGUUCGUAAAGAGGUUUCAACGUGUACGAUUAUUGGUUGUAUUAUAUUAUGUGUUCGUUGACAAAUUUGUUAACUGAUCACUUUUGUGCGGAGUGAAUCUAUCGUGAUAACGCAGCUUCUUGAUUACUUUGGUACUCGAAACAGACGAUCUUCCAGCUUAAAUUCAGUCUAUGAAUGAAACUACUCCGGAGAAGAAAAAGUAGCACACGGCGGAGAAUCGGAGACGCGUCUGGCACUAAUGAAUGAACACGAUUUACGUAUAUCUGAUCCGACAACCCUGAUUCGCGAAUUUUGUGCUCAGUUGCUAUUAGCCGAAAAAAGAAAGCUUUCCAUAUACAUAUAUGCACCUACGUGAAUGAGUUCUCAUUCUUCUCUUUCUACAUUCUUGCUUCUGUAAUCUAUAGCAUCAUCAUCCUAUACAAUCUUCAAAUACAUAAUGGAGAGGAAAACAACUUCAAUUGUUACCGAUAUUUGUUCCACUUUCCAUCCCAUUUUUAACGAAUCAUAAUCCUACGAUUAACUACUGUGAUCUAUUCUUCUGCUGUCUCAUAUUAACCCCCAAAUAUAAUACGAACGCAAUAAAGAAGAGAAAGAACUCAAAUGGUAACGCAUAUUCGUUCUACUUUCAGUACUACUUCUAGCCGAUCAUAACUCUAAUUCCAAAUACACAAUGAAGAUAAAGAAGCUCGAACCGCAACCUAUAUUCAGCACAAAUAACUCAAUAAAUUCUAGUAAUAUCAUGCUAAUAACCAAUUAAUACCAUAUCAAUAAUUCUAAUUCAAUCUUCUACAUUACACUCCUACGUUAGCCUCUCACAUUCGAAUAGAACGAAAGAAAGAAAAGAAACUGUAUUCGUUCCACUCUUGAUACUACUUCGAACAGAUCAUAAUUCUCAUAUUACGCACCAAACAGAAGAACCUAAUCCACUCUUUUUCAGCAAUCUUCCCAUUAAUGAAAUCUCGUGCAACACGUGGAACAGACGGAAAGUCGGUGCGGAAAAAGGAGGUAAAUGAUUCGUGGACUCUCGGGACGACUUUCGGAAGUGUCGAAAAGGGCCGAGGCAUCUUCAGAACG